rnacentral:rRNA from 1 species
GCGCGAGCCUGAACCAGCCAAGUAGCGUGAAGGAUGACUGCCCUAUGGGUUGUAAACUUCUUUUAUAAGGGAAUAAAGUGAGGCACGUGUGCCUUAUUGUAUGUACCUUAUGAAUAAGCAUCGGCUAACUACGUGCCAGCAGCCGCGGUAAUACGUAGGGGACAAGCGUUGUCCGGAUUUACUGGGCGUAAAGGGCACGCAGGCGGUUUUUUAAGUCAGAUGUGAAAGGUACCGGCUCAACCGGUGACAUGCAUUUGAAACUGAAAGACUUGAGUAUUGGAGAGGCUAGUGGAAUUCCUAGUGUAGCGGUGAAAUGCGUAGAUAUUAGGAGGAACACCGGUGGCGAAGGCGGCUUGCUGGACAAAUACUGACGCUGAGGUGCGAAAGCGUGGGGAGCAAACA